CAAACUGUCAGUCAAACCUCUUAACUCCGCCCCCUGAGUGCAGCGAACUGAAGUUCCACAGCAGAGCAGCUGAACGUCUUGCUACGUUUCAGCACAUGCCCCUCAAAAGGUCUGUGCACGGCCCUGCCCAACUGGUUCUUGUUAAGCUCAGCCAUUGCUCAAUGUGGACCAAUCUGGAAGCCAACGUGGAAGUGAAGUUGCCCUCAUGAGGAUCAUCUCUGCAUGUAGCACAAGUGUUAACAGCCCCUCUGGUGUUACAGUUCACUUCUCCCCUGGACUCCAUUUCCCAUGAUCCUCCCUGUUCCACACCUGAACUCACUUCCCUCAUCAUCUCUCCCACUCUCCCUGGAUUCCCUGCACCUGGUCUUUGUCAUUAGCACUCCCUUUAUGUUGGACUCAUUUCCCUGCACUCCUGGUCCAUUCUUGUUGUUGUGUACCUUGUUUUUUGAGUGUUAGCUGUUCUGUUACCUUGUUUAAUAAAUUAGCUAUUGUUACAUUCUGCCUAUUCUAGGCUAUGUAAACAAAGGGAAGACCACGUGGAUUGUUCAUAUAAAGAAAUAUAUUUAUUAAAGAUAAAGAAUGAACAACGCAAGUUAAAUAAAGUCAGUAUAUAUGUUAGGUUAAGAAAUAAAAAUGUAUGCGACAAGAAAUAUGAGGUGUCAUGCAUAAGCAAACAAAAACAUCACAACGGUGCGGGAGAGAAGGAGAAACGGCGGCCUCUU